rnacentral:rRNA from 1 species
CUCGUAGGCGGCCAACUAAGUCGGAUGUGAAAUCCCCAGGCUUAACCUGGGAACUGCAUCCGAUACUGGAUGGCUUGAAUUCGGGAGAGGGAUGCAGAAUUCCAGGUGUAGCGGUGAAAUGCGUAGAUAUCUGGAGGAAUACCGGUGGCGAAGGCGGCAUCCUGGACCGAGAUUGACGCUGAUGAGCGAAAGCUAGGGGAGCAAACG